rnacentral:rRNA from 1 species
CCUAUGGGAGGCAGCAGUGGGGAAUAUUGCGCAAUGGGGGAAACCCUGACGCAGCGACGCCGUGUGAGUGAUGAAGGCUUUCGGGUCGUAAAGCUCUGUCGGAUGGGACGAAUAAGGGCUGUGUGAAUAAUGCAGUCCGAUGACGGUACCGUCGAAGGAAGCACCGGCUAACUCCGUGCCAGCAGCCGCGGUAAUACGGAGGGUGCAAGCGUUGUUCGGAAUUAUUGGGCGUAAAGAACGUGUAGGCGGGUCUGUAUGUCAGAUGUGAAAGCCCUCGGCUCAACUGAGGAAGUGCAUCUGAAACUGCAGAUCUUGAGUACGAGAGAGGAGAGUGGAAUUCCCAGUGUAGAGGUGAAAUUCAUAGAUAUUGGGAAGAACACCGGCGGCGAAAGCGGCUCUCUGGCUCGAUACUGACGCUGAGACGUGAAAGCGUGGGGAGCAAACA